rnacentral:rRNA from 1 species
UACGGGGGGGGCAAGCGUUGUUCGGAAUUACUGGGCGUAAAGGGCUCGUAGGUGGCCAACUAAGUCAUACGUGAAAUCCCUCAGCUUAACCGGGGAACGGCGUCUGAUACUGGAUGGCUUGAGUUUGGGAGAGGGAUGCGGAAUUCCAGGUGUAGCGGUGAAAUGCGUAGAUAUCUGGAGGAACACCGGUGGCGAAGGCGGCCUGCUGGGCAGUGGCUGACGCUGAGGCGCGACAGCGUGGGGAGCAAACAGG